rnacentral:rRNA from 1 species
AACGAACGCUGGCGGCGUGGAUAAGACAUGCAAGUCGAACGAGAACUACGAAUAGCUUGCUAAUUGUAGUUCUAGUGGCGGACGGGUGCGUAACACGUGAGCAACCUACCCUAAAGUGGGGGAUAGCCCGAGGAAACUCGGAUUAAUACCGCAUGUGAUCUUCGGAUCAAAGAUGGCUUCGGCUGUCGCUUUGGGAUGGGCUCGCGGCCUAUCAGCUUGUUGGUGAGGUAACGGCUCACCAAGGCGACGACGGGUAGCUGGUCUGAGAGGACGAUCAGCCUCACUGGAACUGAGACACGGUCCAGACACCUACGGGUGGCAGCAGUCGAGAAUCAUUCACAAUGGACGAAAGUCUGAUGGUGCAACGCCGCGUGGAGGAUGAAGGCCCUAGGGUCGUAAACUCCUGUCAUCAGGGAGUAAGUCUUAGUCGUUAAUAGCUUCUAAGAUUGAUAGUACCUGAAGAGGAAGGGACGGCUAACUUCG